UCCUGUGUUUGCACAGCUGCUCCUCAGUGGGUGUCACAAUACUGGGGAAUUGUGGAACUUCAGCUGGCAUUAGGAAUUAGGGACUCGGGGGUGAGCCUUGAAGGUUACAGCUUUUCCCUGCUUCCCAACCCAAUCUCUGUUCCUCAGUCAGUGUCAUGUGAGAAACCAUGAGGACAGCUCCUGCCACCACAGAUAGUCCCACUUCAGCUGCCCCUGCCUUCUCCACCACGGUAGACUGAUCUUCUGAGUCAAAACAAACCACUCCUUCCUUGAGUUAUUUCUGUCAGGCAUUUGGUCACAGUGACAGGAAAACUCAAAGAGCUACCUCCCACCCCACCAUACCUGCUUCUCUUAGAGAUGCUAUCUGGGUACAUGAAGAAAGGUUCUACCCUCUGGGGCCUCGUAGUAGAAUGAAAAGAUGAAAGAUGAUGUCUGUGAGUUUGCCUGGAAUCUUCUGGAACAUCCCCAUUGUCUGCUCUGAAGUGGCUGCCCUGGGAUACAUCAACUGGGUGCGUGUGCCUCAGUGAACACAAGGAGCAAUUUUCA
rnacentral:lncRNA from 1 species